rnacentral:rRNA from 1 species
CCUACGGGAGGCAGCAGUGGGGAAUAUUGGGCAAUGGGCGAAAGCCUGACCCAGCAACGCCGCGUGAAGGAAGAAGGCUUUCGGGUUGUAAACUUCUUUUGACAGGGAAGAGCAGAAGACGGUACCUGUCGAAUAAGCCACGGCUAACUACGUGCCAGCAGCCGCGGUAAUACGUAGGUGGCAAGCGUUGUCCGGAUUUACUGGGGGUAAAGGGCGUGUAGCCGGGCUGACAAGUCAGAUGUGAAAUCCGGGGGCUCAACCCCCGAACUGCAUUUGAAACUGUUGGUCUUGAGUAUCGGAGAGGCAGGCGGAAUUCCUAGUGUAGCGGUGAAAUGCGUAGAUAUUAGGAGGAACACCAGUGGCGAAGGCGACUUUCUGGACAGUAACUGACGUUGAGGCACGAAAGUGUGGGGAGCAAACAGGAUUAGAUACCCGUGUAGUC